rnacentral:lncRNA from 1 species
GUAACAAUUUUUCCUAUUCAUUUUACUCUCAUUCUUAUAUCACCUAAUUUCGUUUACUUAAUUAAUAUAACAAAAUUACAAUCUAUUUUUAAAAAAAAUGAUUUAAUUAAAUCAUAACCUCACUCACUGUGAACAAGAAAUAAUCAACUGUAAUAUUUAAAUAAACAUCAGUAAGUACAAAGGCCUUGUUAAUACGACUAUUUUCUCGCGGGUUAGAUCGGAGGGAUGAUUGGAUGGCGGUUUGUGGUUGGUCGGCGGCUAGCUGGUUCUUUGGAGCCUCCAGGUGGCUCCCUUGUUAGGGUGGCCCUAAUCGAUGGUGGUUAAACCAGUGAGGAGAGCAAGAGAGCGGGGAGAAGGGGGUUCGCCGGCAACGAGAAAGGGGAAAAAAAGGGAUAGCACCAGCGACAGAAAAGGGAAAAAGGAGAAAUUUCCGGUGAUUUUCUAUCGGAUUUGGUGUAAAAAGGGGACGGGGAAUGGUGGCUUGGCUAGUUUUAGGUUUCGUGGCCGCUGAAAAGGGGUUUGCCGAUGGUGAUAGCUAUUAGACACCGGGAAAAAGGGAGAGGGGAGAAGGCACAGACGAGUUUUGGGGGUGAUGCACAAUUGGAUUUAGGAGAGGGCCAGUAGCCUUUUGCUAGUAUUUCCCGCGAUUCGGGUCAGUUUGGUUGUUGAAGAAGCUGACAAUUCCGUCGAAAGUUCGUCGAAAAAUCUCAACAAUGCCCCUUUUCUCUUUGAUUUUUCACUGUUUUCCCUUUCCUCUUUCAUUAAUUUUCUUUCUUCUUCUCUCUUCCCUCUCUCCAUUUUUCUACUGAAUUUUUUGUUCAAUAGUGUGUGUACG